rnacentral:rRNA from 1 species
GAUGAACGCUGGCGGCGUGCCUAAUACAUGCAAGUCGAGCGAACGGACGAGAAGCUUGCUUCUCUGAUGUUAGCGGCGGACGGGUGAGUAACACGUGGAUAACCUACCUAUAAGACUGGGAUAACUUCGGGAAACCGGAGCUAAUACCGGAUGAUAUUUUGAACCGCAUGGUUCAAAAGUGAAAGACGGUCUUGCUGUCACUUAUAGAUGGAUCCGCGCUGCAUUAGCUAGUUGGUAAGGUAACGGCUUACCAAGGCAACGAUGCAUAGCCGACCUGAGAGGGUGAUCGGCCACACUGGAACUGAGACACGGUCCAGACUCCUACGGGAGGCAGCAGUAGGGAAUCUUCCGCAAUGGGCGAAAGCCUGACGGAGCAACGCCGCGUGAGUGAUGAAGGUCUUCGGAUCGUAAAACUCUGUUAUUAGGGAAGAACCUAUGUGUAAGUAACUGUGCACAUCUUGACGGUACCUAAUCAGAAAGCCACGGCUAACUACGUG